rnacentral:rRNA from 1 species
UACGAAGGGGGCUAGCGUUGCUCGGAAUCACUGGGCGUAAAGGGCGCGUAGGCGGCUCAUGAAGGCUGUGGUGAAAGUCCGGGGCUCAACCUCGGAUCGGCCGUGGCGACUCGUGGGCUGGAGCACUGUAGAGGCGGGUGGAAUUCCGGGUGUAGCGGUGGAAUGCGUAGAGAUCCGGAAGAACACCAGUGGCGAAGGCGGCCCGCUGGGCAGUGGCUGACGCUGAGGCGCGACAGCGUGGGGGAGCAAACAGG